rnacentral:rRNA from 1 species
AGAGUUUGAUCAUGGCUCAGGAUGAACGCUAGCUACAGGCUUAACACAUGCAAGUCGAGGGGCAGCAUGGUCUUAGCUUGCUAAGACUGAUGGCGACCGGCGCACGGGUGAGUAACACGUAUCCAACCUGCCGUCUACUCUUGGACAGCCUUCUGAAAGGAAGAUUAAUACAAGAUGGCAUCAUGAGUCCGCAUGUUCACAUGAUUAAAGGUAUUCCGGUAGACGAUGGGGAUGCGUUCCAUUAGAUAGUAGGCGGGGGUAACGGCCCACCUAGUCUUCGAUGGAUAGGGGUUCUGAGAGGAAGGCCCCCCACAUUGGAACUGAGACACGGUCCAAACUCCUACGGGAGGCAGCA